GAUGAAGAACGCAGCGAAAUGCGAUACUUGGUGUGAAUUGCAGAAUCCCGUGAACCAUCGAGUCUUUGAACGCAAGUUGCGCCCGAAGCCACUAGGCCGAGGGCACGCCUGCCUGGGCGUCACACGCCGUUGCCCCCCCAUCUACUCCUUCGGGAUUGCGGGGGGGCGGAUGAUGGCCUCCCGUGCGCCUAGCCGCGCGGUUGGCAUAAAUACCAAGUCCUCGGCGACGCACGCCACGACAAUCGGUGGUUGCGAAACCUCGGUGGCCCGUCGUGUGCGUUCGUCGCGCAUCGAGGGCUCGAAAAAAUGCUCGGCUCCGGCUGGGCUUUCAACGCGACCCCAGGUCAGGCGGGGUUACCCGCUGAAUUUAAGCAUAUCAAUAAGCGGAGGA
rnacentral:misc_RNA from 1 species